CCCCAGGCGGGAUAUUUAACGCGUUAACUGCGGCACCGAAUUUAAAACCCGACACCUAAUAUCCAUCGUUUACAGCGUGGACUACCAGGGUAUCUAAUCCUGUUUGCUCCCCACGCUUUCGUACCUCAGCGUCAGUACUCGUCCAGUUGGCCGCCUUCGCCACCGGUGUUCCUCCAGAUAUCUACGGAUUUCACUCCUACACCUGGAAUUCCGCCAACCUCUCCGAGACUCUAGCACUCCAGUUUCAAACGCAAUUCCUCGGUUGAGCCGAGGGCUUUCACGUCUGACUUGAAGCGCCGCCUACGCACGCUUUACGCCCAGUGAUUCCGAUUAACGCUCGCACCCUCCGUAUUACCGCGGCUGCUGGCACGGAGUUAGCCGGUGCUUCCUCUAGAGGUACCGUCAGUGAAUGGACGUAUUAUGACCAAACAGUUUCUUCCCUCUUGACAGUAGUUUACGACCCGAAGCCUUCUUCCUACACGCGGCGUCGCUGCGUCAGGGUUUCCCCAUUGCGCAAUAUUCCCCACUGCUGCCUCCCGUAGAGUCUGGGCCGUGUUUCAGUCCCAGUGUGGCUGAUCAUCCUCUCAGACCAGCUACUCAUCGUUGCCUUGGUAGGCCAUUACCCCACCAACAAGCUAAUGAGACGCGGACUCAUCCAAAAGUGGCAGCU
rnacentral:rRNA from 1 species